GCAUGAUCGGUCGCUAAGGAGGGAGUAGAGGUGUCUUAUACUUGUGGGUUAAGGUGGGGAGAUACAAGGGGAGGAUGUGAAGGAGGCUUUGAACUGGGGGAAAAGGCGGCAGUGAGGUGUGGCUGUAGCCCAGGAAUAGUCAGGGAAGCAGAUAAUUUAGUUAAAGUGUGUCGGCCUAAUAAGGGAACUGGGCAGGUGGGGAUAACUAAAAAGGAGUGCUUAAAAGAUCAUUGUCUAAGCACCAGAGUUGGGGAGUUUUAAGAGGUUUAGAAGCCUGGCCGUCAAUACCCACAACAGUUACGGAGGCGAGGGAAACAGGCCCUUGAAAAGAAGGUAAUGUGGCGUGGGUAGCCUCCGCAUUGAUUAAGAAGGGGAUAGACUUACCUUCCACUGUGAGAGUUAGCCAAAGCUCGGCGUCCGUGAUGGUUUAGGGGGGCUUCCGAGGCCAUCAGGCAGUGUCAGUCUUCAGCCGCUAAGCCGAGAAGAUCUGAGAAGGAGUCAGAGAGCCUUGGGCUGGAGUUCCAGGGGCUCUGGGAGUGGCUGCCAGAAUGGUGAAAAUCUUGCUGAGAAAUGGU
rnacentral:lncRNA from 1 species